UACGUAGGUGACAAGCGUUAUCCGGAAUUACUGGGCGUAAAGCGCACGCAGGCGGCGCAUUAAGUCUGAUGUGAAAUCUCCCGGCUUAACUGGGAGGGGUCAUUGGAAACUGGUGUGCUUGAGGCGGUGAGAGGGGUGUAGAAUUCCCGGUGUAGUGGUGGAAUGCGUAGAUAUCGGGAGGAAUACCAGUGGCGAAAGCGGCACCCUGGCACUAGCCUGACGCUCAUGUGCGAAGGCGUGGGGAGCGAACGGG
rnacentral:rRNA from 1 species